rnacentral:tRNA from 1 species
GCCGAGAUCGCAUAGCCUGGUAUUGCGCGCGACUGGAAAUCGUGUUUCCUUUGGAUUCGGGAGUUCAAAUCUCUCUCUCGGCGCCA